rnacentral:rRNA from 1 species
UACGUAGGUGGCAAGCGUUAACCGGAUUUACUGGGUGUAAAGGGCGUGUAGGCGGGAAAGCAAGUCAGAUGUGAAAACCAUGGGCUCAACCUGUGGCCUGCAUUUGAAACUGUUUUUCUUGAGUACUGGAGAGGCAGACGGAAUUCCUAGUGUAGCGGUGAAAUGCGUAGAUAUUAGGAGGAACACCAGUGGCGAAGGCGGUCUGCUGGACAGCAACUGACGCUGAGGUACGAAAGCGUGGGGAGCAAACAGG